rnacentral:rRNA from 1 species
UGAAUACGAGACGCUAAGGCGUCGAAGUAGUGUAUGUCAUACUUCCAAGAAAAGCUUGCACUGUCAUAGAUAAAAAACGCCUGUACCAUAACCGACACAGGUGGGUAGGUAGAGUAUACUAAGGGGCGCGAGAUAACUCUCUCUAAGGAACUCGGCAAAAUAACUCCGUAACUUCGGGAGAAGGAGUGCCUUAUUCGUAAGGUUGCAAUAACAAGAUCCAAGCAACUGUUUAUCAAAAACACAGGUCUCCGCUAAGUCGUAAGACGAUGUAUGGGGGCUGACGCCUGCCCAGUGCCAGAAGGUUAAAGAAGUUGGUUAGCAAUUGCGAAGCUGAUAACUGAAGCCCUGGUGAACGGCGGCCGUAACUAUAACGGUCCUAGGGUAGCGAAAUUCCUUGUCGGGUAAGUUCCGACCCGCACGAAAGGCGUAAUGAUUUGGAUACUGUCUCGGAGAGGGGCUCGGUGAAAUAGACUUGUCUGUGAAGAUGCGGACUACCUGCACCAGGACAGAAAGACCCUAUGAAGCUUUACUGUAACUUGAAAUUGAAAUUGGACUUUAUUCGCGCAGUAUAGGUGGGAGGCGUUGAUUAUAAUCUUGUGGGAUUAUUGGAGCCAUCAGUGAGAUACCACUCUUGUAAUGUUAGAUUUCUAACUUUGAAUCUUUAUCUGGUCAAAGAACAGUUUCAGGCGGGCAGUUUGACUGGGGCGGUCGCCUUCUAAACGGUAACGGAGGCGUACAAAGGUUUCCUCUGAACGGUUAGAAAUCGUAUCUAGAGUGUAAAGGCAUAAGGAAGCUUGACUGUGAGACCUACAAGUCGAGCAGGGACGAAAGUCGGUCUUAGUGAUCUGACGGUACUGAGUGGAAAGGCCGUCACUCAACGGAUAAAAGUUACUCUAAGGAUAACAGGCUGAUCUCCCCCAAGAGUUCACAUCGACGGGGAGGUUUGGCACCUCGAUGUCGGCUCAUCGCAUCCUGGGGCGGUAGUACGUCCCAAGGGUUGGGCUGUUCGCCCAUGAAAGCGGUACGCGAGCUGGGUUCAGAACGUCGUGAGACAGUUCGGUCCAUAUCCGGUGUAGGCGUUAGAAUAUUGAGAGGAGCCUUCUUUAGUACGAGAGGACCGAGAAGGACAUACCUCUGGUGUACCAGUUAUCGUGCCAACGGUAAACGCUGGGUAGCUAUGUGUGGAGUGGAUAACCGCUGAAAGCAUCUAAGUGGGAAGCCCACCUCAAGAUAAGUAUUCUCAU